rnacentral:misc_RNA from 1 species
AGUUUAAAUUCUUUACCUCAACCUGCCACAGCAAAAUAAAAUCAUAUAUCAGCAUCCGCCUAUCAUACAUCAGGUAUAACAUCAUUCAUUCAACUCGAUAAAAAGUGCAUGGCAAAUCAUCUAUCCUCUAGAACAAAGUCACAGUCAGAAGAAAGUAAAUAUGCUUAAGAGGAAAGUCCAACAGUCCUCUAAAAUUAGGCUAGUAUGAUGGCAAAAGUAGAACUAUGUCGAAUAGGGCUGUUCUGAAUACCAUUCAAUCUAUUAAAUAACAGAGAGAG